AGUGAACGCUGGCGGCGUGCCUAAUACAUGCAAGUCGAACGGAGUGGCGCACGGGUGAGUAAUAUAUAUCUAAUCUGCCCCUUGCUGGAGGACACCAGUUAGAAAUGCCUGCUAAUACUCCAUAGCAAGGGAUGAGACUAUAUCGUAUCAGCUAGUCGGUGGGGUAACGGCCUACCGAGGCUAUGACGCGUAACUGGUCUGAGAGGAUGAUCACUCACUUUGGAACGGAGACACAGUCCAAAAUCCUACGGGAUGGAGCAGUGGGGAAUAGUGCGCAAUGGGGGAAGCCCUGACGCAGCUACGCCGCGUGGAGGAUGACACUCUUCGGAGCGUAAACUCCUGUUGUUAGGGAAGCGGUACCUAACGAAUAAGCACCGGCUAACUCCGUGCCAGCAGCCGCGGUAAUAC
rnacentral:rRNA from 1 species